CCCGCUGAACUUAAGCAUAUCAAUAAGCGGAGGAAAAGAAACCAACAGGGAUUGCCCUAGUAACGGCGAGUGAAGCGGCAAAAGCUCAGAUUUGGAAUCUGGCGUCAUUGUGGCGUCCGAGUUGUAGUCUGAAGAGGGGAAUUCAAGUGUAGCUUUGGCUUAAGUUCCUUGGAACAGGACGUCAUAGAGGGUGAGAGCCCCGUUAAUGGCCUUUGUCUUAUGCUUAUGUGAAUCUCCUUCAAUGAGUCGAGUUGUUUGGGAAUGCAGCUCUAAAUGGGUGGUAAAUUCCAUCUAAAGCUAAAUACUGGCAAGAGACCGAUAGCGCACAAGUAGAGUGAUCGAAAGAUGAAAAGAACUCUGAACAGAGAGUUAAAUAGUACGUGAAAUUGUUGAAAGGGAAGCACUUGUAACCAGACACGCUUGCAGCUGAUCAAUUCUGAUUUUUGAGGAUGCACUCAGUUGUUAGCGAGCCAACAUCAGUCAUGGUGACAGGAAAAAGACCAAGGAAAGGUAGCUCCUUUCGGAGAGUGUUAUAGUCCUGGGUGUAAUGCUGCCUACUAUGAUUGAGGACCGCGCUUUGGCGAGGAUGUUGGCAUAAUGGUUUUAAGUGACCCGUCUUGAAACACGG
rnacentral:rRNA from 1 species